AGUAAUGUGAAUUGCAGAAUUCAGUGAAUCAUCGAAUCUUUGAACGCACCUUGCGCUCCUUGGUAUUCCGAGGAGCAUGCCUGUUUGAGUGUCUUGA
rnacentral:rRNA from 1 species